GUUGUGUCAGUGGUUGCAGCUGUAACUGGUUUCAGAGUCAGAUCAAAGAAACACACACAAGACGCAAGCAACAGGAUUCCCGUAUUUGUAUCUCAAGUCAACUGGAACUUUCACCGCAACAUAUGUAAGCGAACAGUCGUCGAGCUAGUCGUUUAUGGAAGCAGGACGACAAAGGACCUCGACAUCAACAACCAAUAUUAAGCCGAUACGUUCUACGAGGACAGUAAUGCCAACUAGCGCAGCACGUGUUUGCAGUUACCGGCGGAAUGCUGUAGUUGAACAGAAGUGGUUCGAUGGUGUUGAUGGGUAGAUCUGGGAGGUUAGGAGAGAGCGUGGUGGAUGGAGAGAACGUUCUCCAGGUAUUACUGGAGUUUAUCAAGAUUCCAGAAAUGGGGCUGCUGCUAUCUGGGUUUUUGUUUUGUUUAAAUAAGCGUCUUUUUUAU